CUCUCUGUCUCUCUCUCAUUUCUCUGUUUAUGUUCUUCUAUCUAUGGUGGGAGCUAGCCCUAAUUCGAUUCUCACCCUGACGUGGUGGGACAAAACCCUAGCCGCAAAUCUCUGUCCUGUUAUUCUCUGAUGGCCUACUUGGACUCGGAAAAGCUCUUAGUUAACAGAGAAAACCUAAGGAACCAAUCCGCGGUGACGAGGGCGAUGGCCAACGAGCUCGCGCCGCAAAAAUCACCCCAAACGAUUCUUGAUCGCUUCAGGUCUCUGCUCAAGCAGCGCGACGAUGAAUUUAGGAACUCGGCCGUAGACGAUGCCGUCUCUCCGCCGAGCGCCGAGGAAAUCGUGCAGCUUUACGAUCUCUUGUUGUCGGAACUAACGUUUAAUUCGAAGCCCAUUAUCACGGAUCUCACUAUAAUCGCCGGCGAGCAUAAGGAACUCGGCAAGGGCAUCGCCGACGCCAUUUGCGCUCGGAUUCUCGAGGCCCCAGUCGAGCAAAAGCUGCCUUCAUUAUAUCUUUUAGACAGUAUUGUGAAGAAUAUUGGCCGGGAUUAUGUUACGUACUUCUCUUCUCGUCUGCCAGAGGUUUUUUGUGAGGCAUACAGGCAAGUUCACCCUAAUCAGUAUAAUUCCAUGCGCCAUCUCUUUGGCACCUGGUCAGCAGUAUUCCCACCUUCUGUCCUACAUAAAAUUGAGGUACAACUGCAAUUUUCUCCUUCGGUAAACCAGCAAUCAUCUGGUUUGAAUCCCUUGAGAGCUUCGGAAUCUCCUCGACCAAGCCAUGGCAUACAUGUUAAUCCAAAGUAUCUGCGUCAGUUUGAACAUUCAGCUGUGGACAGUAAUAUCCAGCAAGCUAGAGGAACUUCAGCUGUAAAAAUGUUUGGUAAAAAACCUGCCAUUGGCUUUGAUGAGUUUGAUUCUGGUCAGGCAGAGCUUGUACCCUCCCAGGUUGGAGCUGAAAGAUUGAGCUCAGCAGGAAAUGCAGGUAAUGCCUCUUUUACCUUCGGGGCUAAUAAGUUGCGUCCACCUUCAACCAUCAGACUCGGGAGACCCUCUUCGCCAUCAAGAACUAGGCCUGAUAGGUCCUUAUCGUUGGCAGUUGAAGAAUUUGCUGCAGACCAUUCUCCUAGAAGGUUUGUUGGUGGGGGCUCUCCAGCUCAUCCCAUAUAUGAGUAUGGACUAAGUAGAGCAACUGCUAGAGAUGAGGAAAUCAGUGGCCGGCAGAGAAAACACUAUUCCGAUAAUAAGCAUAACCACUUUGAAACUAAAUUACUACACAACCUUAGUAAUGGACGUGAGCACCAAGGACCAAGAGCUCUAAUUGAUGCCUAUGGAAAUGACACAGGGAAGAGAUCUUUUGACAAUAAGCCUCUGCAGGGUCAACGCCUUGACUUAAACGGUAUAGACAAUAAGGUUGCUACACCAUCAUGGCAGAAUACUGAAGAGGAAGAGUUUGAUUGGGAAGAUAUGAGCCCCACUUUAGCAGACAGUAAUAGGAGUAAUGAUUUCUUGCCAAGGAUGAGGCCUGGUAUUGGAGUACAGAGUGCUUCCCCUCUGAAUGCUGGUCAGGCUCAGCUUCCUGCAGUGGAUGAUUCUUCUGUUAAUGCUGAAGAUUCAGUCCCCUUACUAAGUCAGUUUGGUCGUGGAUCAAUGAGGAAGAUAUCAGGAUUCCAAACUGAGAGAAAUCAGAUUCUUGAUCCUCGCUAUCCUCAGGACGCCUGGAAUUUGCCUCCCCAUCUCUCCAAAGGAAGAGGAAGGAAUUACUUGCCCUUAUUGGCAAGUCGUAUAUCUUCAUCAGACAGUGACAAAAUGCCCUCUCUUAUUGAUAAACUUCCCGAUGCCGACCCACAACUUCAUGGACCUCCAACUAUUAUAUCAAGAUUUGGUUCUUCCAAUCUUGAUUCUAUUAGUGCUGAGGCUCGGCCGACUGUUCUACCAGCAUCUAGGGGUGUAAGGCCUUCGCUAAAUGUGCAUAACUCUCGCCCACCAUACCUGCAGCAUAUUUUUCCACGGCAGAGAGUGAUGGGGGGCCAAUUUGAGUCAAUAAACGCUACCAAUGCUGUCAAUAAUCUUCGUCCAAAUGGGUCUUUACAUAUGCCCGAGCUGCAGUUGGAUGGUUUUAGAAACAGGGAGCUGAGUUCUACAAAGCUGCCACAACUGCCUAAUCAGCAUGCAGGACUAAUUCAUGUGAAUCAGCGAAACCAGGUUCAAGGCACUCUUUUACGGCCACAAUUUCUUCCAUCUCAGGAGGCACAUCCAUCUUUAGCAGCUGUAGUGCAACCUCAUUUAGUGGCACCACCUUAUAAUCGUGGAUACAGCCCACAAAUGCAUGGUUCCACUGUUAGCACAGUUCUGUCAAAUCCUGUAACUGGUGUUCAGUUGAUGUUACCAGUUCAAAACAUCCCAAGCUCAUUACAUUUACAGGGGGGAGCCUUGCCUCCUUUACCUCCCGGUGCCCCUCCCACUUCAUCACAUAUGAUACCUUUCACACAAAAUGCAGUUCCUGUUGUCGCUAAUCAACAGACGAACGUUUCUGGAUUGAUUGGUUCUCUCAUGGCUCAGGGUUUUAUCUCAUUGACCAAACAAACCCCUAUACUGGAUUCUGUAGGAGUUGAGUUCAAUGUGGACCUUCUCAAGGUGCGUCAUGAGACUGCAAUAAGUUCCCUAUACGCCGAUCUCCCAAGACAAUGCACAACCUGUGGCCUUCGAUUCAAGUGCCAAGAAGAGCACAGUAGUCAUAUGGAUUGGCAUGUAACCAAGAAUCGUAUGUCUAAGAACCGUAAGCAGAAGCCUUCUCGCAAGUGGUUUGUAAGUUCAAGCAUGUGGCUCAGUGGUGCGGAGGCAUUAGGAACUGAAGCAGUUCCUGGGUUUUUGCCUACUGAGAUCAUUGUAGAGAAGAAGGAUGAUGAAGAAAUGGCUGUUCCUGCCGAUGAGGAUCAGAAUGCAUGUGCAUUAUGUGGAGAGCCUUUUGAUGAUUUUUACAGUGACGAGACAGAAGAGUGGAUGUAUAAGGGGGCUGUAUACUUAAAUGCGCCCUGUGGCUCUACAGCAGGCUUGGAUAGGUCUCAAUUAGGUCCUAUAGUGCAUGCUAAGUGUCGGUCUGAAUCUAGUGUGGUUUCUACCGAAGGUUUUAGACAAGACGAAGGGGGAAUUACUGCAGAGCGUAGUCAGAGCAAACGAAUGCGGCUUAGUUAGAUCGACUUCUUUGUUGUCUGUAACUUAAUGUGAUUUUCUUCAUGUCAAUGCAGAGGUUACAAUUUCUUGCGUGUUUACCUUCUGGCAUUAUUUUCCUCUUUUGCUGUCAAAACGUCGUGGGGCAUUAGAAACAUUGGUUUAUGUUCAUCAAUAGGUCUGCUUAAGGAUCAGUUUGAACCACGCCAAAAGGCUUAUUUAAAAUAGAACAAGUCAAAAAGAAAGAAAAGAUAGCAAGGCAAUGGGGAUGCUGCCAGAUGCCAAAGUAUUGGAUCCACUUUUUCCACCCCUCUUUUCUAUAAACAUUAUGCAGGGUGAAGCAUGAGCAGUUCUAUCUACACCUGCAAGCUAAGGCCUCUUGUGCUUAUUUCUCAUCAAACCAAUAGAUCAACGGAAGUGAUACUCUACAAUUGCUGUUCAAGCCACGGAUAGGUUUCGAGCCCUGCUUCCAGUUUUUGGUUCCCAGGAUUUGGUUUUGGGUUGUUUAUGAUGUAAUUAAGAAUUUCUUUCUGUGGCGGUGGUUGUGCACUGUUAGCUUUAAGACUCUUGUUUUCAGCUGGUACUCUUCUUCUACUUCUUCUUUCUUUUUUUGGUAAGCUGUAAUCUAACUUCUAUGAUACGUGCUAAAUUUCUUCUGAUUUAAACAAAUGUUUUUUUUUUGUUCUUUUUGAGCGAACAAAUGUACUUGCUGUUAUUAAGUUGAAUGAAUUUAUCUUCAAGCA